rnacentral:rRNA from 1 species
CACGUAGUUAGCCGGUGCUUAUUCUUACGGUACCGUCAUGAGUCCAACGUAUUAAGUCAAACCUUUUCGUUCCGUACAAAAGCAGUUUACAACCCGAAGGCCUUCAUCCUGCACGCGGCAUGGCUGGAUCAGGCUUGCGCCCAUUGUCCAAAAUUCCCCACUGCUGCCUCCCGUAGGAGUCUGGGCCGUGUCUCAGUCCCAGUGUGGCUGGUCGUCCUCUCAGACCAGCUACAGAUCGUCGGCUUGGUGAGCCUUUACCCACCAACUACCUAAUCUGAUAUCGGCCGCUCUAAUCGCGCGAGGUCUUGCGAUCCCCGCUUUCAUCCAUAGAUCGUAUGCGGUAUUAGCGUAACUUUCGCUACGUUAUUCCCCACGACUGGGCACGUUCCGAUACUUUACUCACCCGUUCGCCACUCGCCACCAGGAUUGCUCCCGUGCUGCCGUUCGACUUGCAUGUGUAAGGCAUGCCGCAGCGUUCAAUCUGAGCCAGGAUCAAA